rnacentral:lncRNA from 1 species
AAAGAAGGCGUGGCAGGAAGGAGGGAACUGUGGUCAGGGAACUGUUCGUGGGUACAGCUGUGCAGCUCUGUCUUAGCGCGUGAUCACCAGCCCCCAGCGCUGCAGCCCCCGCCCAGGAUGAUCCCAGCGGUGAUCUUGUUCUUGCUCCUUUUGGUGGAAGAAGCAGGUAAGCGGAAGGCUUCCGCAAGCGUUAGCUGGGCUUGAGUGUGGGAAUCUAGGGCAGGAACUGGGGAUAGAAGAAGGCUGGGCGUGUGGGCACAGGGCUGAGGCAGAUUCCGAACUUAGCCCUGUUAGGUCCACCACACCCAGACACUACCAUUAUUUCCUUCUUUAUUGUCCCCUUCUUACCUUUCAUACUGACUUUCGACCCUAUGUAAAGAAGGAGUUUGCCAGGGGUAUA